GUGCUCCAAGAAGACCAAGCAUACCAUACCCACCUCACAACAUUUUAGAUUGUCACGAGCUCUAUUUCACAUGUUUUCCUGCCAUUCACAACCUGAUACCCGGGACUCUCCUCACCUUUAUCCCAUGUUGAUCCUCUCUCUCUCUCUCUCUCUCUCUCUCUCUCUCUCUCUCUCAAGCAACAGACAGGUGUGAAGUUUUUGCCGAUGUUAUUGUAUGUGAUGAUGUUGAUGACAACAAGCUCCAUGAGUGGCUACCAUCCUUGUCUCUUUUCUUUACCCUUUUUUUCGUUGUUUUGUUUUGUUUUGUUUUAUGGUGUUGGAUGUCACUAUGUUUUGUGUGAUUGUACUAUAAUCAUAAAAUAGCUACAUAUUAUUAGGCGUGGCAAUGGAUUGGGUCGUGUCAGGAUAAUAACGUGUUAAGAAUACUCAAUUCAAAUCCAACCCAUUUAAUAAAUGUGUCGUGUCGGGUUCGAGUCAUCUUAAACAGAUUACCUAGUUAAUAACAUGUUUACUUAUUCCUAGUUUCCAAUUUAAAAAGGGAAAACAUUAAAUAGAGGAAACAUGAGACUACAUUAGGUUAAUAAACAAGUUAUUUCAUGUUUAAAUAAUAA